rnacentral:rRNA from 1 species
AAAUAAAUAAGUAAGCGUAUAUGAUGGAUGCCUUGGCAAUUAGAGGCUAUGAAGGACGUGCUAAUCUACGAAAAUUUGUCGAUAAGCUGAUAAGAAGCGUUAUUAGUCGGCUGUUUCCGAAUGGGGUAACCUAAAUAUUUUAAAAAAAUAUUUAUUAUUAAAUGAAUAAAAUAGUUUAAUAAUGCAAACCAGAGGAAUUGAAACAUCUUAGUACUCUGAGGAAAAGAAAUCAAUAGAGAUUCUCUAAGUAGUGGUGAGCGAAAAGGGAAAAGUCUUUAAGCUCUUUUAUUAUUUUAUUAUAUUAAUAAUUUGGAAAAAUUAACGAUACAAGGUGAUAGUCCUGUGAUUUAAAAUAAAUAAUAAUAUCUUAAGUUAAAGUAAAACGAGAAAAGUUAUCUUGUUUGAAUAUAGGGGAACCAUCCUCUAAGACUAAAUACUACUAAUUGACCGAUAGUGAACUAGUACCGUGAGGGAAAGGUGAAAAGAACCCCUGUUAGGGGAGUGAAAUAGAUCCUGAAAUCAUAUACGUACAAGCAGUAGGAGCAUUUUAAAAAUAAAUGUUACUGCGUACCUUUUGUAUAAUGGGUCAGCGAGUUAUAUUCUGUAGCAAGGUUAACUUUUAAAAUAGGGAGCCGUAGGGAAACCGAGUCUUAAAAGGGCGUUAAGUUUCAGGAUAUAGACCCGAAACCCGGUGAUCUAACCAUGAACAGGUUGAAGAAUAAUUAAUAGUUAUUUGGAGGACCGAACUGACUAAUGUUGAAAAAUUAGCGGAUGAUUUGUGGUUAGGGGUGAAAGGCCAAUCAAACCGGGAGAUAGCUGGUUCUCCCCGAAAGCUAUUUAGGUAGCGUCUUGUAAUUAUUUUUUGGGGGUAGAGCUCUGUUUCGUUUUAGGGACUAAUGUUACCAAUUCGAUGCAAACUUCAAAUACCAAAAAAAAAUAUUACUGGAAACACACUAUGGGCGAUAAUGUCAAUGGUGGAAAGGGAAACAACCCAGACCGAAAGCUAAGGUCCCUAAAUUAUGAUUAAGUGGUAAACGAAGUUAAAAUUCAAAGACAGCUAGGAUGUUGGCUUAGAAGCAGCCAUCAUUUAAAGAAAGCGUAAUAGCUCACUAGUCUAGUUUUUUAGCGCGGAAGAUUUAACGGGGCUAAAAUCAUAUACCGAAGCUACGGAAAUUAAUUUUUUUUUAGUUAAUUUGGUAGGGGAGCGUUCUGUAAAUCUGAGAAGAAAUAUUGAAAAGUAUUUUGGAGAUAUCAGAAGUGAGAAUGCUGACAUGAGUAACGAUAAAACAAGUGAAAAACUUGUUCGCCGAAAAACUAAGGUUUCCUAUCCUACGUUAAUCGAGGUAGGGUAAGUCGAUCCUAAAAUGAGGCUGAAAAGCGUAGUUGAUGGAUAACAGGUUAAUAUUCCUGUACUUGUUAAUAUAUGUGAUGUAAUGACUGAGGUAGCUAGAUUUGCUAAGUGUUGGUUAUCUUAGUUUAAACGUAUGAAUGAAAAAAUAGGCAAAACCGUUUUUUAUUAACAUUUAAACGCUAUGAUUAACUAUUAUAAAAUAAUAGUUAAAAAUUUAUGCUAGCUUACAAGAAAAGUUACUAAACUAUGAUUAUUAAUAAAUCGUACUAUAAACCGACACAGGUGGUUGGGUAGAGAAUACUAAGGCGUUUGAGAAAACUUGGGUGAAGGAACUAGGCAAAAUUAUACCGUAACUUUGGGAGAAGGUAUUCUGAUAGUAAGUGAUAAAAUGAGAUUUUUUAUAGCUGAAUUCAGACUAAGUUAAAUGCCAGCUGCAACUGUUUAUUAAAAACACAGCACUGUGCUAACAUGAAAAUGGAUGUAUACAGUGUGAUGCCUGCCCGGUGCCGGAAGGUUAAUUGAUAAUGUAAUUAAUAAUAAAAUAUAUUAUUAAAAGCUUUUGAUAGAAGCCCCGGUAAACGGCGGCCGUAACUAUAACGGUCCUAAGGUAGCGAAAUUCCUUGUCGGGUAAGUUCCGACCUGCACGAAUGGCAUAAUGAUGGCUGGACUGUCUCCACCCAAGACUCAGUGAAAUUGAAAUUGCUGUGAAGAUGCAGUGUACCUGCGGCAAGACGGAAAGACCCCGUGAACCUUUACUAUAGCUUGAUAUUGUAUAUUAAUUAUUGUUGUAUAGAAUAGAUGGUAAACUAUGAAGUAUUAACGCAAGUUUAUAUGGAGUUAACAGUGAAAUACCAUCCUUCAAUUUUUAUUAUACUAACUUUAAUCCGUAAUCCGGGUUGAGGACAAUGUCUGGUGGGUAGUUUGACUGGGGCGGUCUCCUCCUAAAAAGUAACGGAGGAGCACAAAGGUUAGCUAAUCACGGUCAGAUAUCGUGAGGUUAGUGCAAAGGCAAAAGCUAGCUUAACUGCAAGAAUGACAAUUCGAGCAGAUGCGAAAGCAGGUCUUAGUGAUCCGGUAGUUCUUUAUGGUAAGGCUAUCGCUUAACGGAUAAAAGGUACUCCGGGGAUAACAGGCUAAUAUCGCCCAAGAGUUCAUAUCGACGGCGGUGUUUGGCACCUCGAUGUCGGCUCAUCACAUCCUGGGGCUGAAGAAGGUCCCAAGGGUAUGGCUGUUCGCCAUUUAAAGUGGUACGUGAGCUGGGUUUAGAACGUCGUGAGACAGUUCGGUCCCUAUCUGCCGUAGGCGUAGGAAAAUUGAGAGGAGCUGCUCUUAGUACGAGAGGACCAGAGUGGACAUACCUAUUGUGUUCGGGUUGUUAUGCCAAUAGCAUUGCCCGGUAGCUACGUAUGGAAAAGAUAACCGCUGAAAGCAUAUAAGUGGGAAACUUACCUCAAGAUUAAUUUUCCCUGUAAUUUUAAUUAUUUUAAAAUUACCUGAAGGGACGUUAUAGACUAUGACGUUGAUAGGUUAGAUGUGUAAGCAUUGUGAAAUGUUUAGCUAACUAAUACUAAUUUCCCGUGAGUUUUAUUUUU